GACGAACGCUGGCGGCGUGCUUAACACAUGCAAGUCGAACGGAAAGGCCUCUUUCGGGGGGUACUCGAGUGGCGAACGGGUGAGUAACACGUGAGUAACCUGCCCUUGACUUUGGGAUAACUUCAGGAAACUGGGGCUAAUACCGGAUAGGAGCUCCUGCUGCAUGGUGGGGGUUGGAAAGUUUCGGCGGUUGGGGAUGGACUCGCGGCUUAUCAGCUUGUUGGUGGGGUAGUGGCUUACCAAGGCUUUGACGGGUAGCCGGCCUGGGAGGGUGACCGGCCACAUUGGGACUGAGAUACGGCCCAGACUCCUACGGGGGGCAGCAGUGGGGAAUAUUGCACAAUGGGUGGGAGCCUGAUGCAGCAACGCCGUGUGCGGGAGGACGGCCUUCGGGUUGUAAACCGCUUUCGCUCAUGACGAAGCUUUGUGUGACGGUAGUGGGUAAAGAAGCACCGGCUAACUACGUG
rnacentral:rRNA from 1 species